UGGGGAAUAUUGGACAAUGGGCGAAAGCCUGAUCCAGCAACGCCGCGUGAGGGAUGACGGCCUUCGGGUUGUAAACCUCUUUCAGCAGGGACGAAGCGAAAGUGACGGUACCUGCAGAAGAAGCACCGGCCAACUACGUGCCAGCAGCCGCGGUAAUACGUAGGGUGCGAGCGUUGUCCGGAAUUAUUGGGCGUAAAGGGCUCGUAGGCGGUCUGUUGCGUCGGGAGUGAAAACUCAGGGCUUAACCCUGAGCCUGCUUCCGAUACGGGCAGACUAGAGGUAUGCAGGGGAGAACGGAAUUCCUGGUGUAGCGGUGAAAUGCGCAGAUAUCAGGAGGAACACCGGUGGCGAAGGCGGUUCUCUGGGCAUUACCUGACGCUGAGGAGCGAAAGUGUGGGGAGCGAACA
rnacentral:rRNA from 2 species